rnacentral:rRNA from 1 species
AGAGCAUAUGGUGGAUGCCUUGGCACCAAGCGCCGAUGAAGGACGUGACAAGCUGCGAAAAGCUGCGGGGAGCUGCAAAUGAGCUACGAUCCGCAGAUGUCCGAAUGAGGAAACUCAGCACGGUUAAUACUGUGUUAUCCCUGCCUGAAUACAUAGGGCAGCGGAGGGGAACCCGGGGAACUGAACCAUCUAAGUACCCGGAGGAAAAGAAAGAAAACAAUCGAUUUCCUGAGUAGUGGCGAGCGAAAGGGAAAGAGCCCAAACCGCCGUACAGUGAUGUACGUCGGGGUUAUGGACCCAAUACGGGACCUGAUAAGUGUAGUUGAAUACAACUGGAAAGUUGAGCCAAAGAGAGUGACAGCCUCGUAAGCGAAACAUUUAUCGGCCUAUGGGUAUCCGGAGUACCGCAGGACACGAGGAAUCCGGCGGGAAUAUGGGGGGACCAUCCCCUAAGGCUAAAUACGACUUGGUGACCGAUAGCGAAUAGUACCGUGAGGGAAAGGUGAAAAGAACCCCGGGAGGGGAGUGAAAGAGAACCUGAAACCGUAUGCUUACAAGCAGAUACAGCACUACUUUUAAAGUGUGGUAUCGUACUUUUUGUAGAACGGGCCGGCGAGUUGCGUUGUGUAGCGAGGUUAAGUGAUUAAGUCACGGAGCCGAAGCGAAAGCGAGUCUUAACAGGGCGCAUUAGUUGCAUGACGCAGACCCGAAACCGGACGACCUAACCAUGAGCAGGUUGAAGCAGUGGUAAGACACUGUGGAGGACCGAACCCACGCCUGUUGAAAAAGUCGGGGAUGACUUGUGGUUAGCGGAGAAAUUCCAAUCGAGUCCGGAUAUAGCUGGUUCUCCUCGAAAUAGCUUUAGGGCUAGCCUCAUGUUAGUAUACCGAAGGUAGAGCACUGAAUGGGCUAGGGGGCUUCACGGCUUACCGAACCUUAUCAAACUUCGAAUGACGGAUAUAUGAUGCAUGGGAGUCAGACUACGUGAGAUAAGUCUCGUGGUCAAAAGGGAAACAGCCCAGAUCUACAACUAAGGUCCCAAAGUACAGGUUAAGUGGAAAAGGAUGUGUUAUUGCUAAAACAACCAGGAUGUUGGCUUAGAAGCAGCCACUCAUUUAAAGAGUGCGUAAUAGCUCACUGGUCGAGUGAUAGUGCGCCGAAGAUAAACGGGGCUAAAACCUGACACCGAAGUUUAGGAUUUACUAGUAAUAGUAAGUGGUAGAGGAGCAAUCUCUGAGGGCAGAAGCCGUAUCGAAAGGGGCGGUGGACUUCAGAGAAGAGAGAAUGCCGGCAUAAGUAGCGAGAGCAAAGUGAGAAUCUUUGCCGUCGAAAGUCUAAGGUUUCCUGGGGAAGGUUCGUCCUCCCAGGGUAAGUCGGGACCUAAGCCGAGGGCGAAAGCCGUAGGUGAUGGACAGCAGGUAGAUAUUCCUGCACCACCGAUCGUUCGUUUGGACGAUGCAGUGACACAGAAAGAUAGCCAAAGCGCGUUGAUAGUAGAGCGCGUUCGCAAAGGCAAGGCCGGGAGGCAGUGAAGUACACCUCCCAAUAAGGAGUAGCCGCGCGGGGACAGACAAAGUUGGAAGUUGGUGAAUCUAUGCUGGCGAGAAAAGCUGCUAAGGAGAACGAUAGGUGCCCGUACCGCAAACCGACACAGGUAGACGAGGAGAAAAUCCUAAGACGAGCGGGAGAACCAUUGUUAAGGAACUCUGCAAAAUGACUCCGUAACUUCGGGAGAAGGAGCGCCUACCCAGAAAUGGGAGGUCACAGUAAAGAGGCCCAAGCGACUGUUUACCAAAAACACAGGUCUCUGCAAAAUCGUAAGAUGAUGUAUAGGGGCUGACGCCUGCCCAGUGCCGGAAGGUUAAGGGGAAGUGUUAGGGGUAACCCGAAGCACAGAACUUAAGCCCCGGUGAACGGCGGCCGUAACUAUAACGGUCCUAAGGUAGCGAAAUUCCUUGUCGGGUAAGUUCCGACCCGCACGAAUGGCGUAACGACUUGGGCGCUGUCUCAACAGUGGACCCGGCGAAAUUGUAGUAUACGUGAAGAUGCGUAUUACCCGCGACUGGACGGAAAGACCCCGUAGAGCUUUACUGUAGCUUGAUAUUGGGUCUCGGUAACUGGUGUAGAGGAUAGGUGGGAGACGUGGAAGUGAGGGCGCCAGCCCUCACGGAGUCAACCUUGGAAUACCACCCAUCAGUUAUUGGGGCUCUAACCCUGAUCCCGUAUAACCGGGCAGGAGACAGUGUCAGGCGGACAGUUUGACUGGGGCGGUCGCCUCCCAAAAAGUAACGGAGGCGUUCAAAGGUUCCCUCAAAAUGGUUGGAAACCAUUUGCAGAGUGUAAAGGCAGAAGGGAGCUUAACUGUGAGACAGACAUGUCGAACAGGUACGAAAGUAGGACUUAGUGAUCUGGCGGUAGAGUAUGGAAUUGCCGUCACUUAACGGAUAAAAGUUACCUCGGGGAUAACAGGCUUAUCUCCCCCAAGCGUUCACAGCGACGGGGAGGUUUGGCACCUCGAUGUCGGCUCGUCACAUCCUGGGGCUGAAGUGGGUCCCAAGGGUUCGGCUGUUCGCCGAUUAAAGUGGCACGCGAGCUGGGUUCAGAACGUCGUGAGACAGUUCGGUCCCUAUCCAUCGUGGGCGUAGGAUAUUUGAAGAGAGCUGCUCUUAGUACGAGAGGACCGGAGUGGACGCACCUAUUGUGCAUCAGUUGUCGCGCUAGCGGCAUAGCUGGGUAGCGAAGUGCGGAAAGGAUAAACGCUGAAAGCAUCUAAGCGUGAAGCCUCCUCUAAGAUAAGAUAUCCCACCGCAAGGUUAAGACCCCUUGA